rnacentral:rRNA from 1 species
UACGUAGGGUGCGAGCGUUAAUCGGAAUUACUGGGCGUAAAGCGUGCGCAGGCGGUUUUGUAAGACAGGCGUGAAAUCCCCGGGCUCAACCUGGGAAUGGCGCUUGUGACUGCAAAGCUGGAGUGCGGCAGAGGGGGAUGGAAUUCCGCGUGUAGCAGUGAAAUGCGUAGAUAUGCGGAGGAACACCGAUGGCGAAGGCAAUCCCCCUGGGCCUGGACUGACGCUCAUGCACGAAAGCGUGGGGAGCAAACAGG